ensembl:antisense 1700010K24Rik RIKEN cDNA 1700010K24 gene
GGACUCGAGGCAACCGGUGAGAGUGAACCUCGUCGUCGAGGAGUGAGCACGCCGCGCUUUGGAUGGCUGCAAGACUUGGCCUGAUGACUGGGUUGUCGGAAUCGUGACAUCUUCGAAGAACUGUUGCUGUAACUCUUGGUAUAUUUGGAACUUAUGGCAUACACAAUCCACAAGCAUACGAUACUGUGAAGCAGAUUUUUGCUUUAGAAUAAAAAAGCUGUGAUAC